AUUUUAUUAAUAUAAAUAGUAUAUUUGAUUUCCAAUCAAAAAGUUUAAAUUUUAAAUAAAAUA
rnacentral:tRNA from 6 species